AGACGUCUACAUUAGAUACCCGUGUAGUCCCAGCCGUAAACUAUGCGCGUUAGGUGUAUCGGUGACCACGAGUCACCGAGGUGCCGAAGGGAAACCGUGAAACGUGCCGCCUGGGAAGUACGGUCGCAAGGCUGAAACUUAAAGGAAUUGGCGGGGAGCACCACAACGGGUGGAGCCUGCGGUUUAACUGGACUCAACGCCGGGAAGCUCACCGGAUAAGACAGCGGAAUGAUUGCCGGGCUGAAGACUCUGCAUGACUAGCUG
rnacentral:rRNA from 1 species